rnacentral:rRNA from 1 species
UAUAGGGGAGCCGCAGGGAAACCGAGUCUUAACUGGGCGUUAAGUUGCAGGGUAUAGACCCGAAACCCGGUGAUCUAGCCAUGGGCAGGUUGAAGGUUGGGUAACACUAACUGGAGGACCGAACCGACUAAUGUUGAAAAAUUAGCGGAUGACUUGUGGCUGGGGGUGAAAGGCCAAUCAAACCGGGAGAUAGCUGGUUCUCCCCGAAAGCUAUUUAGGUAGCGCCUCGUGAAUUCAUCUUCGGGGGUAGAGCACUGUUUCGGCUAGGGGGUCAUCCCGACUUACCAACCCGAUGCAAACUACGAAUACCGAAGAAUGUUAUCACGGGAGACACACGGCGGGUGCUAACGUCCGUCGUGAAGAGGGAAACAACCCAGACCGCCAGCUAAGGUCCCAAAGUCAUGGUUAAGUGGGAAACGAUGUGGGAAGGCCCAGACAGCCAGGAUGUUGGCUUAGAAGCAGCCAUCAUUUAAAGAAAGCGUAAUAGCUCACUGGUCGAGUCGGCCUGCGCGGAAGAUGUAACGGGGCUAAACCAUGCACCGAAGCUGCGGCAGCGACACUAUGUGUUGUUGGGUAGGGGAGCGUUCUGUAAGCCGUUGAAGGUGGCCUGUGAGGGUUGCUGGAGGUAUCAGAAGUGCGAAUGCUGACAUAAGUAACGAUAAUGCGGGUGAAAAACCCGCACGCCGGAAGACCAAGGGUUCCUGUCCAACGUUAAUCGGGGCAGGGUGAGUCGACCCCUAAGGCGAGGCCGAAAGGCGUAGUCGAUGGGAAACAGGUUAAUAUUCCUGUACUCGGUGUUACUGCGAAGGGGGGACGGAGAAGGCUAUGUUGGCCGGGCGACGGUUGUCCCGGUUUAAGCAUGUAGGCGGAUGUUCCAGGUAAAUCCGGAACGUCACUAACGCUGAGGUGUGAUGACGAGGCACUACGGUGCUGAAGUGACAAAUGCCCUGCUUCCAGGAAAAGCCUCUAAGCAUCAGGUAACAUCAAAUCGUACCCCAAACCGACACAGGUGGUCAGGUAGAGAAUACCAAGGCGCUUGAGAGAACUCGGGUGAAGGAACUAGGCAAAAUGGUGCCGUAACUUCGGGAGAAGGCACGCUGAUGGUAGGUGAAGCGACUUGCUCGUGGAGCUGAAAUCAGUCGAAGAUACCAGCUGGCUGCAACUGUUUAUUAAAAACACAGCACUGUGCAAACACGAAAGUGGACGUAUACGGUGUGACGCCUGCCCGGUGCCGGAAGGUUAAUUGAUGGGGUUAUCCGUAAGGAGAAGCUCUUGAUCGAAGCCCCGGUAAACGGCGGCCGUAACUAUAACGGUCCUAAGGUAGCGAAAUUCCUUGUCGGGUAAGUUCCGACCUGCACGAAUGGCGUAAUGAUGGCCAGGCUGUCUCCACCCGAGACUCAGUGAAAUUGAACUCGCUGUGAAGAUGCAGUGUACCCGCGGCAAGACGGAAAGACCCCGUGAACCUUUACUAUAGCUUGACACUGAACACUGGUCCUUGAUGUGUAGGAUAGGUGGGAGGCUUUGAAGUGUGGACGCCAGUCUGCAUGGAGCCAUCCUUGAAAUACCACCCUUUAAUGGCUGGUGUUCUAACGUGGGCCCCUAAUCGGGGUUGCGGACAGUGUCUGGUGGGUAGUUUGACUGGGGCGGUCUCCUCCUAAAGAGUAACGGAGGAGCACGAAGGUCAGCUAAUCCUGGUCGGACAUCAGGAGGUUAGUGCAAUGGCAUAAGCUGGCUUGACUGCGAGCGUGACGGCGCGAGCAGGUGCGAAAGCAGGUCAUAGUGAUCCGGUGGUUCUGAAUGGAAGGGCCAUCGCUCAACGGAUAAAAGGUACUCCGGGGAUAACAGGCUGAUACCGCCCAAGAGUUCAUAUCGACGGCGGUGUUUGGCACCUCGAUGUCGGCUCAUCACAUCCUGGGGCUGAAGUAGGUCCCAAGGGUAUGGCUGUUCGCCAUUUAAAGUGGUACGCGAGCUGGGUUUAGAACGUCGUGAGACAGUUCGGUCCCUAUCUGCCGUGGGCGCUGGAGAAUUGAGGGGGGCUGCUCCUAGUACGAGAGGACCGGAGUGGACGCAUCACUGGUGUUCGGGUUGUCAUGCCAAUGGCAUUGCCCGGUAGCUAAAUGCGGAAGAGAUAAGUGCUGAAAGCAUCUAAGCACGAAACUUGCCCCGAGAUGAGUUCUCCCUGACUCCUUGAGAGUCCUGAAGGAACGUUGAAGACGACGACGUUGAUAGGCCGGGUGUGUAAGCGCAGCGAUGCGUUGAGCUAACCGGUACUAAUGAACCGUGAGGCUUAACCUU